AGCACGUGAGAGGAACCGGAUCAGGCCGAGCUUAGUCCCACUCUGGACCAUCACAGUCACCCUCAGCUGCCAGCCAGGCUUCACAAGGACCAGUUUCUCUGUGAGUUAAUUGGUGCCUGUGUCCUAGACCUCAGAAUGUUAUCAACAUUGUUGGCCUGCAUAAGAACCAGGAAGUAACAUGUGAAUGACUUAUGUGACUCUGAAACAUGGAAGGCUCAGCUCUACACACACAGCUGUCUCACACCUAACAAAGGGUCCAGUUGGAAGACAAAGAAACUUGAAACUCAUGGAUGUGCAAGGGCCUUUGUGAUGGUCCGUAUAUGCCUGACCCACGGAGGGGCGAUACUACGGGAUGUGGCCCUGUUGGAGUAGGUGUGUCACUGUGGGCAUGGGCUUUGAGACCCUCAUCCUAGCUGCCUGGAAGCCAGUAUCUGCUAGCAGCCUUCAGAUGAAGAUGUAGAACUCAGCUCCUCCUGUACCAUGCCUGCCUGGAUGCUGCCAUGUUCCUGCCUUGAUGAAAAUGGACUGAACCGGGUUGGGGAUUUAGCUCAGUGGUAGAGCGCUUGC
ensembl:lncRNA